GGGUCAGUGCCCGAGUGGUUAAUGGGGGCGGACUGUAAAUUCGCUGGCUAAGCCUACGUUGGUUCAAAUCCAACCUGGCCCA
rfam:Halothece sp. PCC 7418, complete genome.